AUGAAACCCAUCACCACAAUUGACACAAGAGUCAUCACUGCUCGGUAUUGCACCAGCCGGGAAUCGAACCCGGGUCUGUACCGUGGCAGGGCUCUGCAAUCCAUGAAACCCGCCAUAACCGUUCAAUGCUCAUAUCGUCUUCUAGUGAAGCAAGAAAGCAAUGAGCUCAUGUUCAAACGCCAUGACGGGCAAACAGUCAUCUUAGUGACACCCGUCAUGGACCCAAAUUGCAAAUGA